UACGUAGGGAGCGAGCGUUGUCCGGAUUUAUUGGGCGUAAAGAGCUCGUAGGCGGCUUGUUGCGUCGACCGUGAAAACCCGGGGCUCAACUUCGGGCUUGCGGUCGAUACGGGCGGGCUAGAGUUCGGUAGGGGAGACUGGAAUUCCUGGUGUAGCGGUGAAAUGCGCAGAUAUCAGGAGGAACACCGGUGGCGAAGGCGGGUCUCUGGGCCGAUACUGACGCUGAGGAGCGAAAGCGUGGGGAUCGAACAGG
rnacentral:rRNA from 1 species